rnacentral:RNase_P_RNA from 13 species
UCCAUGGGAAAUCCAUUGGAAUUUGGAGUUUUCCAUGUGAAAAUCCUGGCAAUUCGGCGUUUUCCAGGGGAAAUUCUGAGAGGUUUCCAUGGGAAAAUCCUGGAAAUUCAGAGUUUUCCAGAGGAAAUUCUGAGAGGUUUCCAUGCGAAAAUCCUGGAAAUUCGGAGUUUUACAGGGGAAAUCCCGGAAAUUUGGAGUUUUCCGUGGGAAAUUCCCAAUGUUUGGAGAGUUUUCCAUGGGAAAAUCCUGGAAAUUCAGAGUUUUCUGUGGGAAAUCCCAGAAAUUCAGGGUUUUCCCAUGGG